AGUGAACGCUGGCGGCGUGCCUAACACAUGCAAGUCGAACGAGAACGGGUUAUAGCUUGCUAUAACUGUCAGCUAAGUGGCGCACGGGUGAGUAAUAUAUAGGUAACGUGCCCUAGAGAGGGGGAUAACAUUUGGAAACGAAUGCUAAUACCCCAUAUGCCUUUAAGACAAAAGUCUGCAAGGGAAACAUUUAUGGCUCUAGGAUGAGACUGUACGGUAUCAGUUAGUUGGUGAGGUAAUGGCUCACCAAGACAAUGACGCCUAACUGGUUUGAGAGGAUGAUCAGUCACACUGGAACUGAGACACGGUCCAG
rnacentral:rRNA from 1 species